GAUGAACGCUAGCGGCAGGCCUAACACAUGCAAGUCGAGGGGCAGCACAGGUAGCAAUACUGGGUGGCGACCGGCGGAUGGGUGCGUAACGCGUAUGCAACCUACCAUUGAUUGGGGCAUAGCCCGAAGAAAUUCGGAUUAAUACUCCAUAAUAUUCAUCAAAGGCAUCUUUUAUGAAUUAAAGCUUUUGCGAUCAAUGAUGGGCAUGCGUGACAUUAGUUAGUUGGUGAGGUAACGGCUCACCAAAACGAUGAUGUCUAGGGGUUCUGAGAGGAUUAUCCCCCACACUGGUACUGAGACACGGACCAGACUCCUACGGGAGGCAGCAGUGAGGAAUAUUGGUCAAUGGACGCAAGUCUGAACCAGCCAUGCCGCGUGCAGGAUGACGGCCCUAUGGGUUGUAACUAGCUUUUCCUACCGGGAAGAACCCUACCGACGUGUCGGAGACUGACGGUACCGUGGGAAUAAGCAUCGGCUAACUCCGUGCC
rnacentral:rRNA from 1 species